AACGAUUGGCAUAGACCGCUUUCGCGCAUGUAGCGCUAAAUGAGACUGCCCGGUCCUCUUUCCCGAUCGAUGAAGUGGCAUUUCACUGAUUCCAGAUUUCAACUUAACUUCCGGACGAACGAAACUUGCGAUCGGUCAACCGCGUUCGGCGAUAUCUAAACGUGCCAUCAGAUUUUCUCCGCGUAUCUCCGCGGCAUCGAAAACUGCAGCGAUUGGUAUACCGGUUUCAGCUCCGGCGACGAUCGUAAGACUUGCUCGCGAAAAUAAAGCAAUUGAAGCUGGCCAGACGAGCCGGAGUGCCGGGGGCGGCCGGGCGAGGUCGCGAGAGGAGGGACUUUGAAGUCGAAAAUAGCCAAAAAUCCCCGCGACCCGGGCACGGAGCUGUCUCCUCUCGCUCUCGAGAAAAGUAACGGUGCCGGAUCGUUGAACCUGGUGCACGAUGUGACGUGUGGUGCCCAUUAACAGAGCCCAAGGAGAGGACGGUGCGCGGGACUCAUUGUCGUGGCGGGAUAGAGGAGUCAGCCCAGGAAUAUACCGCCCGAGGCUACAUCCCUGGCACCGUAAUGAUCCGAUAAGAUGCACGGGAUUAUUCGAGUGUAAAACUCGCGCGGAGCAGGAUCGGCGAGCUAUCGCCGCGCUUCCGCGCUUCUCGGUCGCUCGGACUUCUAUUUAUAAGAGAUCCCGCGAUAAGCGGAACGAGGAAUCGCGUGAUCCACAAGAAACGCUACGCAGAUCUGACGAAUCGAGACGUAUGGUUAGAAAAUUGCGGAUCGAGCUGCUAAAACGACUCGAACGGACGACUCUUUAUCUCCGAUCUCAGGGUUUCUACGAUGAGAAUCAUCUGAUGAGAACAAAAUAAGACAAAUUCUUGAACAGAGCUCGCGUAAUUUGGUGUGACGCGACAUGCCAGGUAAAUGGUGCUGCGCCUGGGUCAGAGAUAAUGGAGAGAAGAAGGUAACUAUAUCCAUAAGAAACGCUACGCAGAUCUGACGAAUCGAGAGGUAUGGAUAGAAAGUUGCGGAUCGAGUUGAUAAGAAGACUCGGAGGGACGAUUCUUUAUCUCCGAUCUCUAUGUUUCUACGAUGAGAAUCACCCGAUGAGAACAAAAGACAAAUUCUUGAACAGAGAUCGCGUAAUUUGGUGUAACGCGAUAUGUGACGAAUAAUUAUGUCCGAUAGAGCAUCCUUAGGUUACAAUUCAGUGAUAAACCGACACAGAUUCACUUCGCACGCGAUAAAAUUUCCCUCUCGCAAAUAGUGAACGUUCCUCAUUCAGAAUUCGUUGCAGGCCAGGUAAAUGGUGCUGCGCCUGGGUCAGAGAUAAUGGAGAGAAGAAGGUAACUAUAUCCACAAGAAACGCUACGCAGAUCUGACGAAUCGAGAGGUAUGGAUAGAAAGUUGCGGAUCGAGUUGAUAAGAAGACUCGGAGGGACGAUUCUUUAUCUCCGAUCUCAAUGUUUCUACGAUGAGAAUCACCCGAUGAGAACAAAAGACAAAUUCUUGAACAGAGAUCGCGUAAUUUGGUGUAACGCGAUAUGUGACGAGUGUUAAUUAUGUCCGAUAGAGCAUCCUUAGGUUACAAUUCAGUGAUAAACCGACACAGAUUCACUUCGCACGCGAUAAAAUUUCCCUCUCGCAAAUAGUGAACGUUCCUCAUUCAGAAUUCGUUGCAGGCCAGGUAAAUGGUGCUACGCCUGGGUCAGAGAUAAUGGAGAGAAGAAAGUAACUAUCCACAUCAAGGCGGAACAAACUUGGAGUCAAAGGGGCUUAACGAAAUAGAUGACUGCGAUUGCCUGAAACGCACGACAGCCCGGAACAGAUUUUCCCCCGUAAUAAUACCUAUUAGGACUAGCUGUUACGUAUUGCCGCCAUUUGGAGUUCGUUCGCUCCCGCGCGACUCGGACGCGCAUCGAGUAACCAGCGUGAGGAUUGCGGAAAAUAAUUAUGUAUCUUGUUACUAUGACUAUUUCUGGACAAUGGAUCUUUUUCACAAUCGAGAACUUUCGAAUGGAAUCUCGCGUCGACUGUGGCCAGGAUAUGCGAGAGCUAAUGCGUUUCUUCGUUGAAAUCGCUGGCAAAAUCGCGUGUAAAAAUUCAUAAUUUAACUUGACGCAAACCUGAAUUAAAUGGGACAUAUGUACGUCUAAAUGCUGAAGUGUACACGUGACCAACUGGCGACACGUGCUUCCAAUGACAACGAAAUGUCUUUUAAUGGGCGUUUAAUCACCUAAUUACGCGUAAGAACGAAGAGGUUCGCAGUUGGGAUAAUGUAAUAAUCUUAUGGAGGACAUUAGAGAUGGAACGCGCGAAUACGACGUUUGAAAUAUGGUUGGCGCGCAUUAGAGAAAGGUUGGCCACUACUGGCCUAAGAGAUUUCACGCUGUCCAAACUCCUCCGACACGAACGACGCGAUUAAUCUUUCCGGGCGAGUGUCGCCGCCUUCUAAUCUCACCCGAAUUCUAUCCUCUCAAUUCUACCAAGCGUGAAGGUGACACGCCUCAUUGACGCUCGGUUUUGAUACGCGAUGAUGUAACGACCUACAUACGUGUCGUCGAGAUCUUUCAAGUCUGAGGGAAUCUAGUCGAUGAAACAAGUUACUUGCGAAGAGUUUAAGAUUUUAAGAUCUAUUACAUUUUAUCGGCUCUCCGGUACCAGAAAUUCGGCAAAAAGUAGCAGACUACAAUUGCAUAAAAACAAACGUAUAAUUUAACCAAGAAUUAAUCGUGUUUGUUCGUGGUUUGUCGUAAUUUCCUCAAAUUAAAGUUCUGUCACGUCCACGGAUAAAAUAAAAAGUAAAGUAAAAUAAUAUAAGUACCUGAAGUCUAAUUUCCUCAUUUUUCGCAAUUUCAACGGAGGGAUAAUCUCGAAAUGCAAUAAAUAACA